UAUGAUGGAUUUUUCUCCAAGAAGUGAAUAUUUUGCUUUGGGGAAUGAAAGGGCAGGGCCUACUGUAGAGGUUGCAUUGUUACUCGGACUUCUAAAGAGAUCAUUUGAAAUUCAGUUGAGUCACAAGAGAAGCCCAUCCUGGUAGAUCUGAGAAACUUUCCAGAAUGUGUGAAAAUGUAUGAAUAACAAUUUUUUGAGCCAGCUGUCCAUAUUUAAGUUAAUAGAAAUGUAUAAUAAAUACAUGACAACCUUUGUUUG